GACGGAGGAUGCAAGCGUUAUCCGGAAUUAUUGGGCGUAAAGCGUACGUAGGCUGUUUUAUAAGUCUGUUGUCAAAGACUGAGGCUUAACCUUGGGAAGGCAAUGGAAACUGUAAGGCUAGAGAGAGAUAGGGGCAGGAGGAAUUCCAGGUGUAGCGGUGAAAUGCGUAGAUAUCUGGAAGAACACCAGUGGCGAAAGCGUCCUGCUGGGUCUCAACUGACGCUGAAGUACGAAAGCUAGGGGAGCGAAUGGG
rnacentral:rRNA from 1 species